AUUGAACGCUGGCGGCAUGCCUUACACAUGCAAGUCGAACGGCAGCAUGAUCUAGCUUGCUAGAUUGAUGGCGAGUGGCGAACGGGUGAGUAAUACAUCGGAACGUGCCCUGUAGUGGGGGAUAACUAGUCGAAAGAUUAGCUAAUACCGCAUACGACCUGAGGGUGAAAGUGGGGGACCGCAAGGCCUCAUGCUAUAGGAGCGGCCGAUGUCUGAUUAGCUAGUUGGUGAGGUAAAGGCUCACCAAGGCGACGAUCAGUAGCUGGUCUGAGAGGACGAUCAGCCACACUGGGACUGGGACACGGCCCCGACUCCUACGGGAGGCAGGAGUGGGGAAUUUUGGACAAUGGGAGAAAGCCUGAUCCAGCAAUGCCGCGUGUGUGAAGAAGGCCUUCGGGUUGUAAAGAACUUUUGUCCGGAAAGAAAUGGCUCUGGUUAAUACCUGGGGUCGAUGACGGUACCGGAAGAAUAAGGACCGGCUAACUACGUG
rnacentral:rRNA from 1 species